CCGUACAAAUCUAUGGCCUCCUCCCCCUUCUUUUCUUUCACUUGUUUCCCUCCACCAACAGAAGCUCGCCUCAUCUUUAGGAGACCAGGGUGUUGUAGUAGAGAUGGUGGUAGUUGAAGCGUCGAGUAGCAAUCGGUGGCGUUAUCGGGUCUAUCAAUGUUCGUGCUGUUCGCAAGUCAUGUCUGAAUUAAUAGGUGACAAGGAUAAACGCAGCUUGUUACCUUGAGACAUUCAGAGCACCUGUUCUUUUUGAUGCCAUGGAUGAGAACUUGAAGGAAGUAUUUUGAUGCAGCCUCGAGCUUAGGCUGUACCCCGAAUUAUCCGAUCACAUGUUUGGAAAUUACUACGAGAGGGUAGUACCAGUGUUAUAGCUGUAAUUCGCUAUUAUGCACAGCAAAACUCAUGGAUCUAAGCAGAAAUUAAGGUGAUUUGUGGUAUCUCAACCUAUCAUGGACAGCAUUUUUAUCUGAAUCUGCCGCCUCUCUGUUCUUCGCCUGCUUUUGUUCUUCAUCUACUCUUCUCAUUAGGGAUGGGAAGAGAUUUCGGAGCCAGGCCAUCUGUGGUAAUGCACAAUGGAAACAUUGCAAAAAUUGAAAGAGACAGCCGACAAGUCAAAUUGAGAGGAGUGAAAAAUGGAAGAAAACAAAAGUUUUCUUUCCCUCGUUUGAGGAGCGUCACCAAAUGCCGAUUAGUUGCCAUAACGGUGCUGCUUCCGUGAACCACGGCCUUUUCUACUCGGCAAGCCGGUUGGCCCCCGUCUCCAGGCUUUCGCCACCUUUCGCGGAAAGAAAGACCGCACGGACGGCGCAGAGCGGCGGCGGCAGCAGAAAAGAACAGAAGAAAUCUCAGAAGCAGAACCUUGGCGUCUCUUUGCUGCCACCAUUUUGAGCUCUUCUUCACUUGCAAACUAAUGCCGUUUUAAUCUCAAGGCUCGGCAACGAGAUCGCCUCCAAUCUCCAUUGGAAACGAAAUCUUGGGGUAAGACUCAGAGUGUUCUUCGGAGAAUGGUGUGACAGAGACACAACCUCAUUUCUUCGUAGUCCUCUUGGGAGACUUCGCUCGGCAGC